rnacentral:antisense_RNA from 1 species
CUUGAUCGAGCCCAGCCACAGCGGGACCUCGCGGUCCUGGCCGUAGGUGUUGAGCAGGGCCUGGGCCUC